GGCCAGACUCCUACGGGAGGCAGCAGUAGGGAAUAUUGCUCAAUGGGGGGAACCCUGAAGCAGCAACGCCGCGUGGAGGAUGAAGGUUUUCGGAUUGUAGACUCCUUUUGUUAGAGAAGAUAAUGACGGUAUCUAACGAAUAAGCACCGGCUAACUCCGUGCCAGCAGCCGCGGUAAUACGGAGGAUGCGAGCGUUAUCCGGAUUUAUUGGGUUUAAAGGGUGCGCAGGCGGCCUGUUAAGUCAGCGGUAAAAGCCGGGGGCCAAACCCCGGCGAGCCGUUGAAACUGGCGGGCUGGAGUUGGAGAGAAGUACGCGGAAUGCGCGGUGUAGCGGCGAAAUGCUUAGAUAUCGCGCAGAACCCCGAUUGCGAAGGCAGCGUACCGGCUCCACACUGACGCUGAGGCACGAAAGCGUGGGUAUCGAACAGGAUUAGAUACCCUAGUAU
rnacentral:rRNA from 1 species